CCUACGGGUGGCAGCAGUGGGGAAUAUUGCACAAUGGGCGAAAGCCUGAUGCAGCAACGCCGCGUGAGCGAUGAAGGCCUUCGGGUUGUAAAGCUCUUUUCUCAAGGAAGAUAAUGAUGGUACUUGAGGAGGAAGCUCCGGCUAAUUACGUGCCAGCAGCCGCGGUAAUACGACGGCGGCAAGGGUUAUACGGCAUUACUGGGCGUAAAGGAGGCGUAGGUGGUUUCUUAAGUCGGUGGUAAAAGUCUAGGGUCAAACCGUAGUAAGCCUUUGAAACUGGUGAACUUGAGUGCAGGAGAGGAGAGUGGAAUUCCUAGUGUAGCGGUGAAAUGCGUAGAUAUUAGGAGGAACACCAGUGGCGAAGGCGGCUCUCUGGACUGUAACUGACACUGAGGCACGAAAGCGUGGGGAGCAAACAGGAUUAGAUACCCCUGUAGUC
rnacentral:rRNA from 1 species